AGUGAACGCUGGCGGUAGGCCUAACACAUGCAAGUCGAACGGCAGCACAGUAAGAGCUUGCUCUUACGGGUGGCGAGUGGCGGACGGGUGAGGAAUACAUCGGAAUCUACUUUUUCGUGGGGGAUAACGUAGGGAAACUUACGCUAAUACCGCAUACGACCUACGGGUGAAAGCAGGGGAUCUUCGGACCUUGCGCGAUUGAAUGAGCCGAUGUCGGAUUAGCUAGUUGGCGGGGGAAAGGCCCACCAAGGCGACGAUCCGUAGCUGGUCUGAGAGGAUGAUCAGCCACACUGGAACUGAGACGCGGUCCAGACUCCUACGGGAGGCAGCAGUGGGGAAUAUUGGACAGAGGGCGCAAGCCUGAUCCAGCCAUACCGCGUGGGUGAAGAAGGCCUUCGGGUUGUAAAGCCCUUUUGUUGGGAAAGAAAAGCAGCAGGUUAAUACCCCGCUGUUCUGACGGUACCCAAAGAAUAAGCACCGGCUAACUUCGUG
rnacentral:rRNA from 1 species